CUCUCUCUCUCGCUUAGCGUCGCCGGCCGUCCCUCUCCAAGCCUGUUCUGUCUUCGACAGUUUCUCUCCGGCUGUCUCUCUCUCCAGUGUUCUCCGUCGAUCUUAUUCUCUCUCUCUCUCUCUCUGCGCAUUUUGAUGGAAUUGAAAUCUCGAUGUAACCAGGAAACGAAAAGGAAGAGGAAAAUCUGAGAGGUUCCUUCGUUUCUGUCAUCCACUUACUCUCUCUCUCUCUCUCUCUCUCUCUCUCUCUCUCUCUGUAAGAUUUUUAAAAAGUGGGCUUUCUAGGCACGAUGGAUCUUAUGGAAAAGGAAUCAUUGUGCGUGGGUAUGAUGAGUGAGAACAGUAAGUGCUCCUUUGAUUGCAAGACCACAAAGACCCCCUUGUGGAGAGGUUCUGUUGUGUCUUUGAAGAAAAAUACAAGAGGAGAGAUUGUUGCAGAACUAGAAGAGGCCAACAUGAAGUUCUUGCUUCAGGCCCAAUUGAGGACUUGAUAGCUCACCGUGAGCAUAGAAUCAAUUGAAGCACUGACAAAUCUAGAUUUAAGACUUGGAGCCUAUACAAAUCAUGGUUGGUUAAAUUUUUCCACGUAGAGAUUUAAUUAAUGUAGUGAGGAUGGGUGGAUUUAAAUUUAUUACUAUUAUUAUUAUUAUUCAUU